rnacentral:tRNA from 1 species
GCUACUCCCCACCACCCAAAGCUGGUAUUCUAAUUAAACUACUUCUUG